CGUCGCGGGGCCCCCGGGAGCGGCCCUUAGCGACCCCGCCCGGGCCCCUCAGUACCGGGGAUUGAAUUUAAAGCUUCACAAACAUUAGGCAAGUGUUCUGCCACUGAGCUACAUCCGUGAACAAAGCUAAUUACUUUGAUACGUUAAUAUGGGGAAGUAUCAAUGUAGUCCAAUAUAGUACUCAAAUAUAAAUAAUGAUUGUUUACCAGAACCAACCUCUUAAGUGUAUGUUUAUAAGAAAUUAUAAAAUGCUGUGUUAUGUUACUAUGUUUUACACACAAAGUAGUGAAAAAGGCAUAUACUCUAUUCUGACUUUUUAAAAGGGUCAUGGUCCUGAACUGACUGUGUAAUAUAAGUAACAGAAAAUGAAAGUGUUUAGCUAGUAUGGUUUUUAUUUUGGUAAAGAAGUUUGUAAUUUGCAUCUAUAAGACAUGUCCAAUUCUCACUUUCUCUCCGUCCCUCCCUCCCACCUUCCUUCUCCCUCCCUCCUCCCUGUCCCUCCUCCCUUCCUCUCCCCCUCUCCCUCCCUCCCUUAAAAAAAAAAAGUUCAUUACUCUUUGUAUAUCGUGAAUUUGGACUCAUACCAAGGAACUUACAGCUUGGGGUUCUGAGCCUGUUUUAAGUUCUGCCUCUAAUUUAGUGUUUCUCUUCCUGUGCUUUAUCUUGUACUUUUUUGGUGUUAAAAACUAGGUACGGAAAUUAGUUAAUACAAAGUGAGAAUGUUUUCUCAGUCUCUGUAGGCAUCUAGACUUUUGGGCCUUUUAAUCCAUUGUAUCGCAACUUGAAACAUGUGGGAAGUAUAUUUAGGGAUAAGUGCUUUACCAGUCACUAUUAAUGUUAGCAGCAAUUAUGAUUUCUACUGAAUCAAAUGAGUCAUUGUUAAAAUAUAUCACUGUAUGCCUAAAAGUUCUAUAAAUUAGUAUACUGAGCUCUGCAUUGUUUAUGUAUGUGCUUUUAAAACUAUAAAGAUAGUAAGAGUCUGGGUGUAAAAAAAAAAAAAGAGGGGCUGGAUGGUGGUGGUGCAGGCCUUUUAGCCCCAGCACCAAAGAAGCAGAGGCAGGAGUAUCUCUGAGUUCAAGGCCAGCUGAGUCUACAGAUCGAGCUCCAGGACAGAGAAUCCCUGUUUUAAAAGAAUAGUUUCGGGUAAUUGUAAAAGUAUUUUGUAGAUAAACUUUUAAAUAGAGAGUUGAAAUUUCUAUGUCACUAAUUAAAUAUUGUAAUGGUUAUGCCCGUUUCUAUGUUUUGGAUAAAAUGUUCAGUUUUUAUUUGAGUAACUUAGAAUUUAUUGACCACAAUACUAAAGGAAAAGAUCUUUAGGAAUCAAAUCAUAUCAUAUAUAAGGAAAGUUUAGUUUGUAAGUUUGCUAUUGGAAUCUGGGAUAUAACAGGGGGCAAAAUUGAUAGUGUGGUUAGUUUGAUUUAGAGUUGUUCUUUACAUUUUACAGGCAUUUAUUUAGUUUCUAAUAUGAAUUAGUAUUAUAUGCUCUUAUUUAGAUAAACAUAUGUACAUGUAUAUGUGUGUGUGUAUGUAAACACACAUAUAUUAUAGAGCUGUCAGGUGCGUCUAGAGGGCUGUCCCAGUGGUCUUGGAGAACUAAGGGGGUUAGUUCUUUGCUGUUGCCAAGUAGUUUGUGAUACCCUAACUCAGUAGAGUUAGUGUUUCUACACAAGUGUCUGUUUAGCAAAAUACCAUUUUAUGUUACUAAUUCAGAGUUCUAGUUGUAGAUUUUAAUUCAUCUUCUGCCUGGAUUUAUAAUUCUACAGCCAGAAAGUAGAACAUCAAAUAUUUUAGUUUCAAAAAAUAUUUGCUCACCUGCUUAUUGGCAAUUUCUACAGUUGGUAGUAGACUGGUUUUAGAUUGGUGGCUCUAAUCAGCUUUAUAGUUUGAGGAUAAAGUGAAAAAAUAAUUUAUAAUUUGACAAAUCUGAAUUGCUUAGAAGUAAAUAUGUUGAUAUUGAUAUAUAAUUUUUUCCUCAUUAGAGCUGUUAAUAAAGCUUUAUACAUUGUAUGGGA
ensembl:lncRNA